rnacentral:rRNA from 1 species
UACGAAGGGAGCUAGCGUUGUUCGGAAUCACUGGGCGUAAAGCGCACGUAGGCGGCUGUGUCAGUCAGGGGUGAAAUCCCGGAGCUCAACUUCGGAACUGCCUUUGAUACAGCACGUCUUGAGUCCGGAAGAGGUGGGUGGAAUUCCUAGUGUAGAGGUGAAAUUCGUAGAUAUUAGGAGGAACACCGGUGGCGAAGGCGGCCCACUGGUCCGGUACUGACGCUGAGGUGCGAAAGCGUGGGGAGCAAACAGG